UGAAUACCAUGGAUGGUGAUGAUGAGAGAUGCGUGCAUGUGGCGGCAGAUAGGAGAAUAGGCAAGCUGAUGGGAUCAAUGACAGGAAUGGAGAGAAGGGACCUGUCUACGGAUAUGAGAGUUGCCACUAGGAGGCAAAGAAAAGAAACUUGCUGAGGAUCAGAGCCGUGCCCGGCAUCAGUGGAGAGGGCAUGCUCAUCUCAGUCCAAAAUCACCGAUGGGAGACUGAACGCCUGUGUGGCUGCAUGCCCGCUCAGGGGCCCGGCUGCACACACAGGCCUUGCUCCGAUGAGUUCUGGAUCCGCUCUCCUGAGCUCGUGAGUGAUGCCAGAGCAAUAUCCAACAGAGGUUUGACCAAAAUCUUGGUGCAGUGGCCUAGCCAAACUGACACAUGAAGUCAACCAUCACAGAGGCCCAGCGAGAGUGCAACAUUGAGUAAAUUCCCAGGGCCGUGAAAAAUUGAGGGAAAAGUGAAACAUCAAAUCCCAAAAGAGAUCCUUUUCUUAAAGUGCUGAAAGUCAAUUCAACAAGUAUUUACUGAGCUUCUACCCCUGCCCUUGGGGACGCUGUGAUGCAAAAUCGAGAAUUUUCCCCAAAGGUAACGCUCAAUUCAUUUUGAUUUAAAACUGGCAGCUGAGAGAAUCCACUCAAGGUUGCAUUUGCUCUUUAUAUAUAAAUAUGUUUCUACAGUUUGAGUUUUUACCUAUACCA
rnacentral:lncRNA from 1 species